GUCUGGGUGGCUCAGUGGAUUAAGCAUCUGACUUCCGCUCAGGUCAUGAUUUCACCAUUAUGGGUUCGAGCCCCAUGUCAGGCU
rnacentral:tRNA from 1 species